GGGCCAUUAGCUCAGCUGGCAGAGCACCUGACUUUUAAUCAGGGUGUCGGAGGUUCAACUCCUCCAUGGCUCACCA
rnacentral:tRNA from 3 species